UUUCGUAUUGGACCUCCAUUUAUGUCUCUCUCUCCUUCUCCUUCGUCCCGUUUUGAUACGAAUCAUUUUUACCCUUCCUCCGCCAAUCUCGAUUCUUAUCUCGAUCUCCUUCUUAGAAUCAAGAUACCGACGUCCCUCUCCUCUCUCUCUCUCCCUGAUUAAACCUUCAUAACCAGCAAUUUUGCAUUAGAUGUUAGUUCUGAUCUUAGUUAUGAUGCGAAGAGAGAAGAGUGCUCCCUGUCACUGCAAACCGAUGCGGUUUCCACCGUUUGAUAAUGAGGAUCCUCCAAUGGACUAUGAUGACAACUUGUUGGACGUGGAUCCUCUCGAGCCGAUUCAGUUGGAGCUAGACAAAGGUCAUGAUGGCAUUCGAUGCGUUCUUGGCUUUAAAUGGUCAUUGCUUAGAAUGGGAAUGAUGACCCUUGUUGAAUUCAGAUGCUAAAGGAUUUUCUUGAACUCCGUAGAUCAUGUAGGAGGAGGGAACCAGUGAAUCCCUGAUGCUACUGCUAAACAGUUCUUCCUUACUCUCAGUUUGGUUUCGACACUACAAUAAAGCUUUAACAUUUUCUUGUCUUGGUCUGUGGUGGUAAAGUAAUAAAGCUUUAACAUGUUGUUGUCUUGGUAUGUGGUGGAAUGAUGUUGCAAACCCAACAUCUUUUGCUUUCUCGGUUGUUUUUUUGUGAAGAACAUUUGGUUUAACAAUGAAUAUAACUGAUGUAUCUUAGUGACUUUCUGUUUGCAUCGGUUUAACAAAUGAGAGUUAACAGAUGUGGCUGGACAUUCAUGAUCAGUUCAAACAGGGUGAUUACUUUUAGGUCAAAAGGGGAAAACAUCGUGGUCUUUCUUCGUCGAUGUCUCCGAAGUGCUUUUGCUUCUAAAAAUUGAAUCCUCCUUUGGAGAGAGAGAGAAGAGAAGAUCCAAUCAUCUCAAAGUGAAAAGAAGAAGAUGAGUUCUGAUUUGUAUGUGUCUGGUGUGUUUGAGGUCAAGUCAAUCGUGUCGAAUCGGUGUCGGACGACGUUGUGUCUGAUGUCAAGUCAAUCGGUGUCGAAUCUCUGUUUUUCGCCACCACCGGCGCUGGACUAGGUCUCUACAUAGUCAUCAUCAUCACCCCCUUCCUAGGUAAACAAAGAUCAUCAAGUUUCAGACUUUGGAUUUUAAUCACGUCUCUAUGUGUUGUUUUGUCGGUUUAGUGUUUGUGUCCGCUGUACUAUUACCACCAGAAACAUCCGGUGAACUACUUACUCUUGGGGGUGUUCACUUUGGCUCUGGCUUUUGUCGUUAGAUUGACAUGUGCCUUCACCAAUGGGAAACUGAUUCUACGGUCAGCGAUCUUGGAUAAGUAUCUAUACAAUAAUCCGGAGAUGACGUUGGAUUGGAAGCAGAGGUCUAAGAUCGUCAAAGGAGUUGUGGGGGCUACUUUUCUGUCAAGUCUGGUAGAGACAUCCACGAGUUCUCAGAUUCUCAGUUUGGACAUGUUUUUGCAUUUGAGGAAACCAGAGCCAUGGCAAUAGCAAAUCUUGGGUGUGAUCGGUACGAUCUUGAAGAGGUUGAAAUGGUUUUGAAGCUUGGUUUGUUGUGUUCGCACUCGGAUCCUAGGGCUAGACCGAGUAUGAGGCUGGUGUUACAGUAUCUGAGAGGAGACAUGUCAUUGCCGGAACUAACGCCGUUGGAUUUGUCGGCGGGGAAUGGGAUGAACUUGGGAGGGAGAGAGGGGUUUAGCGGUAUAGGCAUGUCGUAUUCUUCCUCAGUGUUUAAUGGGUUUACCGGUGUGUCUUCCAUCACUGAUUCUCUACUUCUGGUGGGAGGUGAUUGACGAUGUUACAACAUUAUUAGCAGCGUAUAAUGAUGCUCUUUGCUUUAUUUAUUUAUAUGCUUAUGAAUAGGGAUCAUGUAUAUACACUUUUGCCUUGUAUGGAGUUGUAAGAUUUUCUUAAAUUUUUUUUAUUAAAUUUAA